AUGCCGCCUCGGUUGGUUGAUUUACUGAUCGGGGUCUGGAAUUGGUGUCUGGCAGCCUCGACGUUGCAUCAAGUCACUCCUGGACACAGGAAGCAGUGCCACCUCGUCGGCAGUGUGGCCGGUAUGAGGAAGGUUGUGGUCACCCUCGGUGACUUCCUCUGCUUCACCAUCCUAGCCGGCAUCAAGGACCAGAAGGACCCUCGCGACAAGCUCCACCAUGGCGGCUGGAUGGCCCAGAUUUUGUACUGGAUCACCAUCAUCUUCCUUUUUGUUCAGUGUGCUCAACAUUGUGUCAGCUUCUUCUGCGGGCAGCUUCUAUGA
rnacentral:rRNA from 1 species